rnacentral:rRNA from 1 species
GAUGAACGCUGGCGGUAUGCUUAACACAUGCAAGUCGAACGGACUCUUCGGAGUUAGUGGCGGACGGGUGAGUAACGCGUGAGAAUCUGGCUUUGGGUUCGGGACAACCACUGGAAACGGUGGCUAAUACCGGAUGUGCCGAGAGGUAAAAGAGAAAUUGCCUGAAGAUGAGCUCGCGUCUGAUUAGCUAGUUGGUGAGGUAAAGGCUCACCAAGGCAGCGAUCAGUAGCUGGUCUGAGAGGAUGACCAGCCACACUGGGACUGAGACGCGGCCCAGACUCCUACGGGAGGCAGCAGUGGGGAAUUUUCCGCAAUGGGCGAAAGCCUGACGGAGCAAUACCGCGUGAGGGAAGAAGGCUCUUGGGUUGUAAACCUCUUUUCUUAGGGAAGAACAAAAUGACGGUACCUAAGGAAUCAGCAUCGGCUAACUCCGUG